GGAGCGGGCAGGGGAGCGGGCAGGGGAGCGGCCGGGGCAGGCAGGCAGGAGCAGGCACUUAUGAGCAGGGCUGUCUGUGGAGGUGAGAGCUGAGUGUGCCUGCAGGCCCUGGGCAGUGCAGCUCCCAUUCUCCUGGACAGCACACUCCUCUGGGCCUGCCCAGCCCCCUCAGGCACACUCAGCCUUCUGCUUGCUGUGAACUGGCAGUCAGGAGAAGUGUGCUGUAUUUCACAGGUCCUACUCGGUUACUGUGUGUAAAGUAGUAACUCUUGAUACUGUGGGAGGAACAUUAUUGAACAGGGGUGAGAAAAAGCAAGUGAAAGAACAGUUCCUUGCACUGUCCUCUGGGGGACUGCUAAAGAAAACCUGGUUCCAGGGUUCUGAGACAGAUAAUAGCUAAAGAAACAUGUCCAAAAGCUUGGUUUUGUUGUUAAUUUAUUUUCUGUUUUCUGUUUCUAGGAGGUAUAGUAUGAGUCCAAUACUGAGCAACAAAGCUGUUUGUUAAAGUAAUCUCCGCACCCUGGAAUUGUACUUUUCCAGGAGUGACUGUGGCUGGGUGCAGAAGGAACACUUGCUGUUUGCCUGUAUGUAUCUGUACCCCCAAGUGGGACAACUGAGGAACUCAGAAACAAUGGCACUGGGACGGUGCUGGGAUGUCUGAGCCUGAUUCCUUACGUCCAUUCCCUCACUCACUCAGAGGUCUCUCAUUAUUGUGGUUUUUGAAACUGCUUGGGAAAUCCGAACUGAGAGGAACAGAACCUACAGCGUUUCUCUUAAGCAAAGUUUGA
rnacentral:lncRNA from 1 species